UCACAUCAAGGCAAUGCCGAACAGGGAGAAACUUCCAGUAUUCAAGUUAAAAAAAAAUAGACUUUUUUUUCCAGCAAGGCCUGGUUUCAUCGUCCCCACCCUUGUAAGGAGGGGGCUGAUUUUUUUUCCCAAAACGGUACUUUGGAACUUCCUGCUCCACCCUGUGCAGUACUUCUUCCCCACUCAAAGGAACAGGAGGGGGAGAAUGUUCUGGAAGGUUGUUGAAAGCAGCCUUUUGCCUUCUAUAAGGAUGGUUUCUUCCUAAAAACCUUCGAUGCCCGAUGUAAGCCAUUUUCCCUCCAUUAACUAGUCUUGUUGGUUUUGUAUUUUCAAGGCAAAUAGGGCAUGCAUUAUACCCUUUAACUAUACUCCCAGAUAGGUUACCAUAAGCUGGAAAAUCGUUGAUUGUCCAGAAUAGUAAACCUCUAAGAGUAAAGUAUUCACUUUGUCUUGCAUCGUAGACACCACUAACUCCUUCCCACAGCAGUUUCAAGUCGUCUAUCAAAGGUUCCAAGUAGACAUCAAUGUCAUUUCCUGGUUGUUUAGGCCCAGAAAUCAAUAGAGUUAACAACAUGUGUUUUCUCUUCAUUAUGAGCCAUGGAGGCAGAUUAUAUGCGACCAGAAUAACAGGCCAACAGCUGUACUUGCUGCUUAAUGAACUAUGGGGAUUGAACCCGUCUGAUGAUAAUGCAAGUCUUAGGUUUCUAGGGUCAGAACCAAAAUCUGGCCAUUUUUCAUCUACUAACUUCCAUGAAGUUGCAUCAGCUGGAUGACGCAUCAAGCCAUUGCUUUUUCUGUCAGUAGCAUGCCAAGUCAGACUCUUACAUGUACCCUCUGACUGAAACAUUUUUUUUGAAUCUAGGAAUAGGAGGAAAGUACCAUAGUACCUUUGCAGGUACGCCUUCCCUCUCUUUCAAGUUUUUACCUACUUUCCACCUUGAAAUACCACAUGUAGGGCACUUAAUUGCAUCAAUAUACUCUUUUCUAUACAAAACACAAUCAUUUGGGCAGGCAUGAAUUUUAGUGUAAUCCAUUCCUAGAGAACUCAAUGUCUUCUUUGCCUCAUAGACAGAGGCAGGUAUCUCAUUGCCUACUGGAAGAAACUCCGCAAACGCAAUCAACCACUCAGAGAAAGCAACAUCACUCAUACCGUGCUUUGCUUUCAAGUUGUAAAGCCUCACCAGAACAUUCAACCUUGUGUGCCUAUCACAACCAGGGUAUCUCAUUGUCGUUCACAGAGUAAGAACUAUGUGAAUCUGAAUCUACUGCUGCAUCAUCAGUAGAUUCAUCAGCUGCUGAAUCCAAUAUGGCCUCCCCAUGCUCAUUCCAUUUAUCAUAACUCGCAUCAAUACCAUUUACAAAUAGAUGGUCCCUUAUUACAGAAGCGGAAAAGUAGUCAACAUUUCCACAUUUUGUACAAGGACAACAAAUAUGGUUAGGGUCUUUAGCAUUAUCCAAGGCAAAUUUACAGAACUGUGUCACCCCUAAUUUAUAUUGCCGAGAUCUCCUAUCCGCAACCAUCCAUGUUCUAUCCAUUUAUACUACGCACAAACAGAAAAACCAAACAGGAAGACAAACUUAAUUGCAGAUAUAUCAACACGAACUCAUAUAUAUUUGUUGGUUUCUUUUAAACUGAUAGGUACUGGAACAGGGAAUCUCGGUGUGCAAUGGACUGAAACAGCUACCAAUCCAAGAUUAUGUUUUACCCUAUAUACCUUCAGCAUACAGUAAUAUGCAAUAGCACCCAAAUAGGAAGACAAAUUU